rnacentral:rRNA from 1 species
GAGUUUGAUCCUGGCUCAGAUUGAACGCUGGCGGCAUGGCUAAAACAUGCAAGUCGAACGACUAGCAAUAGAAGUGGCGAAAGGGCGAGGAAUAGAUUCCCACGUACCCCGAGGCCAGGGAUACCUCAGAGAAAUCUGAGACAAUACCUGAUGACAUCGGAAACGAUCAAAGGUUUACCACCUUGGGAGCGGGGAAUCUCCUAUCAGCUAGUUGGUGAGGUAAUGGCUCACCAAGGCGAAGACGGGUAGCGGGUGUGAGAGCACGGCCCGCCGCAUCGAGACUGAGACACUACUCGGACUCCUACGGGAGGCUGCAGUAACGAAUCUUCCGCAAUGCACGAAAGUGUGACGGGGCAAUGCCGCGUGUGGGAUGAAGCCCUUAGGGGUGUAAACCACUGUCAGGGACUACCAACAACAUGAGGAGUCCCAAAGGAAGAGCCGGCUAACUCUGUGCCAGCAGCCGCGGUAAUACAGAGGGCUCGAGCGUUAAUCGGAAUCACUGGGCUUAAAGCGUGCGUAGGCGGAUUUGAAGGCGCUUUGUGAAAUCCCUCGGCUCAACCGAGGAACUGCUUGGCGAACCACAAAUCUUGAGGCUGGUAGAGGUGGUCGGAACAAUAGGUGGAGCGGUGAAAUGCGUAGAUAUCUAUUGGAACACCGAAGGUGAAGACAGGCCACUGGGCCAGUCCUGACGCUGAGGCACGAAAGCGUGGGUAGUAAACGGGAUUAGAUACCCCGGUAGUCCACGCCGUAAACGAUGCGCACUUGGUCGAGGGGGUUGAACGCCUUCUCGGCCGUAGGAAAACUGAUUAGUGCGCCGCCUGGGGAGUACGGUCGCAAGAUUAAAACUCAAAGGAAUUGACGGGGGCUCACACAAGCGGUGGAGCAUGUGGCUUAAUUCGGAGCAACGCGAAGAACCUUAUCCUAGGCUUGACAUGCACGGAUUAACCUCCUGAAAGGGAGGCAACACUCGCAAGAGUGGAACGUGCACAGGUGCUGCAUGGCUGUCGUCAGCUCGUGCUGUGAAGUGUCGGGUUAAGUCCCGCAACGAGCGCAACCCAA